rnacentral:rRNA from 1 species
UGAGGAAUAUUGGUCAAUGGGCGAGAGCCUGAACCAGCCAAGUAGCGUGCAGGAUGACGGCCCUAUGGGUUGUAAACUGCUUUUAUGCGGGGAUAAAGUGUGCGACGUGUCGUGCAUUGCAGGUACCGCAUGAAUAAGGACCGGCUAAUUCCGUGCCAGCAGCCGCGGUAAUACGGAAGGUCCGGGCGUUAUCCGGAUUUAUUGGGUUUAAAGGGAGCGUAGGCCGCCAGAUAAGCGUGUUGUGAAAUGUACCGGCUCAACCGGUGAAUUGCAGCGCGAACUGUUUGGCUUGAGUGCACGGUAAGCAGGCGGAAUUCAUGGUGUAGCGGUGAAAUGCCUAGAUAUCAUGAGGAACUCCGAUUGCGAAGGCAGCUUGCUGCAGUGCGACUGACGCUGAUGCUCGAAGGUGCGGGUAUCAAACAGG